CUUAUAAGUAUUUUUUUUCUUUCUCCAGAUGAACGCUGGCGGCGUGCUAAUACAUGCAAGUCGAACGCUUUGUGGUUCAACUGAUUUGAAGAGCUUGCUCAGAUAUGACGAUGGACAUUGCAAAGAGUGGCGAACGGGUGAGUAACACGUGGGAAACCUACCUCUUAGCAGGGGAUAACAUUUGGAAACAGAUGCUAAUACCGUAUAACAAUAGCAACCGCAUGGUUGCUACUUAAAAGAUGGUUCUGCUAUCACUAAGAGAUGGUCCCGCGGUGCAUUAGUUAGUUGGUGAGGUAAUGGCUCACCAAGACGAUGAUGCAUAGCCGAGUUGAGAGACUGAUCGGCCACAAUGGGACUGAGACACGGCCCAUACUCCUACGGGAGGCAGCAGUAGGGAAUCUUCCACAAUGGGCGAAAGCCUGAUGGAGCAACGCCGCGUGUGUGAUGAAGGGUUUCGGCUCGUAAAACACUGUUGUAAGAGAAGAAUGACAUUGAGAGUAACUGUUCAAUGUGUGACGGUAUCUUACCAGAAAGGAACGGCUAAAUACGUGCCAGCAGCCGCGGUAAUACGUAUGUUCCAAGCGUUAUCCGGAUUUAUUGGGCGUAAAGCGAGCGCAGACGGUUAUUUAAGUCUGAAGUGAAAGCCCUCAGCUCAACUGAGGAAUUGCUUUGGAAACUGGAUGACUUGAGUGCAGUAGAGGAAAGUGGAACUCCAUGUGUAGCGGUGAAAUGCGUAGAUAUAUGGAAGAACACCAGUGGCGAAGGCGGCUUUCUGGACUGUAACUGACGUUGAGGCUCGAAAGUGUGGGUAGCAAACAGGAUUAGAUACCCUGGUAGUCCACACCGUAAACGAUGAGUGCUAGGUGUUUGAGGGUUUCCGCCCUUAAGUGCCGCAGCUAACGCAUAAGCACUCCGC
rnacentral:rRNA from 1 species